rnacentral:rRNA from 1 species
GAUGAACGCUGGCGGCGUGCCUAAUACAUGCAAGUCGAGCGAACAGACGAGGAGCUUGCUCCUCUGACGUUAGCGGCGGACGGGUGAGUAACACGUGGAUAACCUACCUAUAAGACUGGGAUAACUUCGGGAAACCGGAGCUAAUACCGGAUAAUAUAUUGAACCGCAUGGUUCAAUAGUGAAAGACGGUUUUGCUGUCACUUAUAGGUGGAUCCGCGCCGCAUUAGCUAGUUGGUAAGGUAACGGCUUACCAAGGCAACGAUGCGUAGCCGACCUGAGAGGGUGAUCGGCCACACUGGAACUGAGACACGGUCCAGACUCCUACGGGAGGCAGCAGUAGGGAAUAUUCCGCAAUGGGCGAAAGCCUGACGGAGCAACGCCGCGUGAGUGAUGAAGGUCUUCGGAUCGUAAAACUCUGUUAUUAGGGAAGAACAAAUGUGUAAGUAACUAUGCACGUCUUGACGGUACCUAAUCAGAAAGCCACGGCUAACUACGUG